CAAAUCCUCUAAAAGAUGCAGAGAGCAGUAUAAAAAUGGGAAAAGACAAAGACAUAAUAACCGGGAGAUAUAAAAAUCCUGUCAAAGUUUGUCCAUGAGCCUGUCGCUCCAGCCUUGACAGGAAGUGAAGUCACAUCUCCUAAAGAGUUUGUCCAUGAGCCUGUCACUCCAGCCUUGACAAGAAGUGAAGUCACAUCACCUGAAGAGUUUGUCCAUGAGCCUGUCACUCCAGCCUUGACAAGAAGUGAAGUCACAUCUCCUGAAGAGGUUUGU